rnacentral:rRNA from 1 species
GACGAACGCUGGCGGCGUGCCUAAUACAUGCAAGUAGAACGCUGAAGGAGGAGCUUGCUCUUCUGGAUGAGUUGCGAACGGGUGAGUAACGCGUAGGUAACCUGCCUGGUAGCGGGGGAUAACUAUUGGAAACGAUAGCUAAUACCGCAUAAGAGUAGAUGUCGCAUGACAUUUACUUAAAAGGUGCAAUUGCAUCACUACCAGAUGGACCUGCGUUGUAUUAGCUAGUUGGUGGGGUAACGGCUUACCAAGGCGACGAUACAUAGCCGACCUGAGAGGGUGAUCGGCCACACUGGGACUGAGACACGGCCCAGACUCCUACGGGAGGCAGCAGUAGGGAAUCUUCGGCAAUGGACGGAAGUCUGACCGAGCAACGCCGCGUGAGUGAAGAAGGUUUUCGUAUCGUAAAGCUCUGUUGUAAGAGAAGAACGAGUGUGAGAGUGGAAAGUUCACACUGUGACGGUAUCUUACCAGAAAGGGACGGCUAACUACGUG